UAGUUGCCUAUCGAAUUCUCGGCUACAACUUUAAGUUUGGAAACUACUGAACAGUACCAUGUGUUUGAAAGCUAGCCACAAAGAAAGUUCAGUCGCGACCAAACUUGCCAAACAGUGUUUCAAUUCUAUAGGAGUUAACCUGUGGUGCUAAUGCAGUUGAGUUCAUCAUCAACCACGCUGAAGUUUCAAUAGCUUUUGUUCAAGAUAACAAAAUCCCUGCUGACUACUGGAAAGUUAUUGUCCCAAACAGUGACCGACUGCAUAAGUAAUAUAUACUGAUGCACAUCUGGAGAUUGGAAAGCUGUAAUUAGUACUAAUGCAGCAAUGUUGGUAAAGCAUUGUCUAUGGACCAAAUGUGAC